ACCGCUUCACCGCGGUAGGUGACUAUAUAAGGUUCUCCACCACCGGCGGUCUUGCCUCACCUCCUCCCUGCCCUUUCGGCCUGACCGCCGAGCUCCGGUUCGCCUCCUAGCCAUCUGUCAGCCAAGCUUUGCGAGAUGCAUGGAGAGAUGGACCUCGAGCUGCACGCGAUGGCGCCGGGCUAGCACAAGGCAGAGCACCCGGCGAGGAGGCGCGCAAGAUCGGCGCGUCGGUGCCCACUGGUUGCCAUCCCCGUCUCCCCUUCCUAGGUGCUCCCCUCGCGUCUUAACUCUUACCCCGAGGUGCUACAGAAGAGACGCACUACGGGGAGCUAACAUGGAGGAGCGGGCGGCCGCUCGAGGCACAACAUCCUGUUGCAGGCGAGGUGAGUCUCAAUGCUGAUGUUGGUCACCAACGAGGUCUGCGGAGCGGAAGUCCUGGCGAGGUGGAUUUCGCCGGUGAGGCCCUCUCCGUUCUUCCUCUUGUGUGCGUCUUGGGCAGGAGGCAGGGCCAGCUGGGCCCGAAGGCGGUGCCUAGCCCUCCGGGCCACUGAGGCGGGACGCCGGUGCCGUCGGCGAGGUGCCGAGGGCGCGCGGUGCGGCUCGCACUAGGACUCGUGCUCCGCCGCCAUGGCGACGGCCAGCGCAGGACAUGCGCGACACUGGGAGCCAAGCAUGAGGCUCUGGAGUGGCUCAUGCAGCGCGUCGCGCGCGGCGGUGCCGGUGGCUUGCAGUUGCAGGUUGACCGUGGGCGGUGGGCGUCGGGCAGAGCUCACAUGUGGUUGCGGCGGUGCGCCGACAAGUGAAGCUCGCGGCGUGAUGGCGGCGCGUCGUGUGUGUGUGCGCGCGCUGUUUGCGCCCACUGUGCGUGCGUGGGACGGUCUGACGAUGCGACGAACGAUGUCGAGGCAGCAGGCCGCUGGCGCUCGGUAUCGACGUAACGGAGCUCCUUUCCCUUACAGAAGCGGGCGCCGUCUCCUCUCAUGUCCCCUUCCCUCCUCUCUCUCGCCGCCGCCUGCGUGCGUGCAUGUACAGCUUGCUCGCCGAUAGAGAGUGCGCCGCUGCUCUCCUUCUCUCUCUCUCCAAGGCGACCGUGUUCCCGAGCCGCCGCCCCCUACCCAAGCUCCCGCAGCGCUACAUGUUGCCGCACGCCGUAUCUCUUUCGCGGUUUGGCUUUGGCCUCGCUCUUGGCACCGCGCCGGUCUACGAUGGCCACCAUCUGCCGGACAGUAAGACCCGAUAUGGUGGUCGCCUCGAUGACCGGUGGGUGCAAGCCAGCUGCGGCCCUUCGCCAUCCCCGAGCCAGCUGCGGCCCUUCGCCUACGGCAUGCUCGGCGCGCAUCUCCCGACCGGCGUGCGCACAUAGCCUCAUCGGAUAGGGAUAUGCGUCACCAGUCCACUCUAUCUGUUACACCGAUGCCACUCCCGAUGCGGACUGUGGCUGUGCUUCUUUUCGUUGUUAGAUAUAAUCUUGAUGUCUUGUGUAUCUGCAUGUUUACUUUCGUAUUUGCAUGUAGUAGUGUGUCUAGGUACCUGCGAGGCGUACAACUGAAGGGUUCAGUUUGAACUUUGAAGAGCAUGCAUGGUGAGACUCCAACGUGCGAGAAGCUGUUGCAUGCAUGCAAAGAUCUGAAGCUAACGGGCUGCACAAGUUAUCUAGGAAGUUGUUAUGCAUGCGUGUGUUAAUGGCAUAAGAAUAGGUGAUGGAUUAGUUGGUUAGUGGAGCAGGUCGUGUGCAUAAAGAGCCGGGCACGUUGUGGCCUGGCAGCGUGUGCGAGCUAGCUACUUAAAGUGUUGUAAUUAAGUUCGUCUGGUUAAGAAAUACAGAGAAGAAAAGCCGUGAGCUGUGUGAGACAGCGCGGCACCAAAUAUCCUGUGUUCUUGUGUGUCUUGUGUGAAACAACCAAAAGAGAAGAGGUGAGCUUAGAGACUCGGCUCCAACAUUCGUGUCCGUGAAUCCGUGAUGCCGUAGCCAGCAUCUCUCUACAUCUGGAUGUAGCGGAACACAGCGAGCCCCGGAUCGGCCACUCGAUUGACGGGGCCACCUCCCAAGGCUCCUCGGCCAUCACCUUCCCCAUGGCCGCCCUCGCGCGACUCCACGCCGGCCGUUCAGCUCAGCAGUCCUCUCGAGGAGAGUACACUAUCGACAAUGGUAGCAUGCCUAUGCCACGAAGGGACGCCAUAGUCAUGCACAGAGCGGUCGGUGAGUUUUCGUGGAUACAACGGUUACGAAUCUGCAGGCUGGCAUCCACACUGCCUGGCUGCUAUUUAUGACUGUCGGUGUAGCCUUCAAAUUUCACAGCAAGGUCGUAUGUGAUUAUUAAUACUGUAGCAGACCGUACAUGUACACUCUCAUAUAAAUGGACCGUGGAAUUGGAUUAUGGUUGUUGGCAUUACUUCAACUAUUUUAUGCAGUCCUUCAUUGAUUCUAGGAACUGAAUAACAUUUUUGUGAGGAAUCGAUGAAUAGCAAUUUGAUAAGUAUUGUGAGUGUGUAAGCAACGCAUUCACAACUCCAAAGCAGCUGAGCCGCAGCUCACAAACUCUUGUUUCAUAAAAGAUUAGAGUGAAAGACUUUGGCGAAUGAUUAUUUCAGUAAAACCUGAUUAACUGACUAACCUAAGAGUAUUUUAAAAGUAUUUUGGAUAAGCAUUCUGGUUUGCACUCUGCAAUUCAAGAUGAGCACCACUGAAUUUCAAGGAAGAUAUGAUAAAGGGUCUGACUAACACUCAUUUAGAUGAGAAUAAAAUCUGCAUGAUUAAACUUUCUGAGUUAUUUUGUGAUCUUUUAUCUGCCUAGCUAAUGUGUUACUUUAAUUUCAAGUAGAAAGCAAAAAUGAUGGCGAGUCUCUUUUUUUUCUGUUUAGUACUACAGUUAGCUUAGUUUUCUAUUUGGUGCAGCUUGGUGAAUUUUCAGCUGAGCUACCAUCACAUGGUAAAUUUUGUUUUCUACAGUAUUGAUGUGGCAAUUUUGUGAGUGUAGUCUUACCUUGACAUACUGCAUGUUGCAUAAUCAAAGUAUCCUUUUUCUCGAUAUAGCCCAACCAUGGCAAACUGCAGGUCAUUACUUAUUUUCAUUGAUAUUGGCUCAUGUAUACAGAUCAGUGCAUGGAACUGCCUAUUUCAAGGGAAGAUAUUUGGUUUUUCAUUUUGGCAAAAUAUUGGGUGAAAUACUAAGCGACUAUACGAAGUUUAUGUAUGUCUACUUUCCCAUUGGGUUUUCAUUUUGACAAAAUAUUAACUGAAAUACUUAGCGACUACAUAUACUUGGAUUGUAUGUUAAUUGGGUUCUUAAACAAACAAAAAAGUACUUCAUUCAUUAUUUUACUAUUCUCAUUUCUAAUAAUUUUUACACAAAGCUUGCCUUUUAUGUUACCUUGGUACCAAAUAGCUGAGCUUGCUCCUUGCUCGCAUAUUAGGGUAACUUGAUCCAUGCAGGAAUUAUGGGAUUGAGACACACAAUGAAGCAAGGAAUGAUUUAUACUAUUUUUUGCCAAUUUGCUUUUGUUUUGUUAUGAUGCUUAGUUCACAUUUGGGUUUUCUAUUUUAGAAAAUCAUUAGCAAGAAUAAUUAGUUGCUAUACUUAUAUUAUAUACGAGGCAAGGUAGUUCGUACAUUGCUUUAAUUACUCUACCCUUAUUAUAUGCAGUGUUAGUAAAGUAGACUUUGAAGUACCGAAUUACUAUGCUUCGUCUUGUUCAAUUGAGGGUGGCUGGUCAUUUUCUUUUCAUGUCUACAUAACACUAGAUUGUUUACAUCAAAGUGCAACCACAAUCAAAUCGUUAGUGUUUGUCCCUUUAUACUGAAUGUCUUUUGUCAUAACAUUAAUUUGGCUAAUUUACUUCACAUAUGGAGCCUGCCUUAUUUAAUUGUCCACUGAUCUGUUUGUUCUAUCCCCAUUUUCACAAACAAUGGAUAGUAUUUGUCCUUUUCCACUGGUUAUCUUUUGUCAUAACAUUGAUUUUGCAAAUUUACUUCACAUAUGGAGCCUGCCUUAUUUAUUUGUGUACUGAUCUGUUUGUUCUAUCCUCAAUUUUUUAAUUUAAGGUGGUCACCAAUCUUUGCAUGUAGAAACAAUGGAGAAAGCCUCGAGACUCCAUAGUCAGAGAAGGGGAAGUAUCCUUUGCAGCUGCAUUCAAAAAAGGGGAAUGAGAAGCAUGUACCUACCUCUACAUUGGCUCUUCCUGAGAUAAACUUGGACUGAGAUGCCCAGGUAGUUUAUGUUCUGCACCCUUCCGAGUGAAAAGGUCAGGAAGUGCUGCUCUGAUUUUCAACACAGUCGAAAGAUUAACUCACGUGUCUUCAUUUUACCAUGUAUGUAAUUUCAACAUAAAGUAUCGAUGGAGCUCUACAUCAUUUCAUUAUUGGCACAAAUCUAGCGGGAAGUCGAACAAGGAUGCUAUGAAGUACCAAAGAAUAAAAAAAUCAUCAUGCUAUAUCAAUAUGUAUUCUCUUUUCAUUAAAUAAAGCUACUCUUUACGAAA